GAUGAACGCUAGCUACAGGCUUAACACAUGCAAGUCGAGGGACCGGCGCACGGGUGAGUAACACGUAUACAACCUGCCCUUUACUCGGGGAUAGCCUUUCGAAAUAAAGAUUAAUACCCGAUGUAAAGGAUGGGGAUGCGUUCCAUUAGGUUGUUGGUGAGGUAACGGCUCACCAAGCCUUCGAUGGAUAGGUGUUCUGAGAGGAAGGUCCACCAAAUUGUAACUGAGACACGGGCCAAACUACUACGGGAGGCAGCAGUGAGGAAUAUUGGUCAAUGGGCGUUAGCCUGCACCAGCCAAGUAGCGUGAAGGAUGAAGGCUUAUGGGUCGUAAACUUCUUUUAUAUAAGAAUAUGUAUUAUAUGAAUAAGGAUCGGCUAACUCCGUGCCAGCCGCCGCGGUAAUUC
rnacentral:rRNA from 1 species